CCUGGCACCUGAUGGUGCCAUUUGAUAACCCCCAGGUCUUCUGCUGGUAGUCAGGGAGUAAUUGGCCUCUGUUCAGCCUCUCCUUGCCACUCAUGAUUUUACAGAUCCCUGUCACUGUCCUGUAUUGUCUUUUCUAGAUGAGAAAGUCCUGGUUUAUGCAGGCAUUUCUUGUGUGAAGGAAUGGGCUGUUCCAAAACCGCUGUCCAUCCUUAUUGUUCCAACCUGAACAUUUUCCUAUAUCCGUCCAUCUUCUUGAAGUCAUUUCAACAGUGCUUUCUACAAUCCGAAACUAUGGAAAUUGAAUACAGAAAGAUGUAAUUCAGAGAAGACUGGUCUUCCGAGGAAAUACAUGGUCGUAAGAAGACAUGAAAUAAAGGCUGCAUUGGCUGCUGAGGCUCCUACCA
rnacentral:lncRNA from 1 species